UACGUAGGGGGCAAGCGUUGUCCGGAAUCAUUGGGCGUAAAGCGCGUGUAGGCGGUCCGGUAAGUCCGCUGUGAAAGUCGGGGGCUCAACCCUCGGAUGCCGGUGGAUACUGUCGGGCUUGAGUACGGAAGAGGCGAGUGGAAUUCCUGGUGUAGCGGUGAAAUGCGCCGAUAUCGGGAGGAACACCGAUGGCGAAGGCGAGGUCUCUGGGCCACUACUGACGCUGAGAGCGAAAGCAUGG
rnacentral:rRNA from 1 species